UACGUAGGGUGCGAGCGUUGUCCGGAAUUAUUGGGCGUAAAGAGCUUGUAGGCGGUUUGUCGCGUCUGCUGUGAAAAUCCGAGGCUCAACCUCGGACUUGCAGUGGGUACGGGCAGACUAGAGUGUGGUAGGGGAGACUGGAAUUCCUGGUGUAGCGGUGAAAUGCGCAGAUAUCAGGAGGAACACCGAUGGCGAAGGCAGGUCUCUGGGCCACUACUGACGCUGAGAAGCGGAAAGCAUGGGGAGCGAACAGG
rnacentral:rRNA from 1 species